UACGAAGGGGGCUAGCGUUGUUCGGAAUUACUGGGCGUAAAGCGCACGUAGGCGGAUACUUAAGUCAGGGGUGAAAUCCCGGGGCUCAACCCCGGAACUGCCUUUGAUACUGGGUAUCUCGAGUCCGGAAGAGGUGAGUGGAAUUCCGAGUGUAGAGGUGAAAUUCGUAGAUAUUCGGAGGAACACCAGUGGCGAAGGCGGCCAACUGGUCCGGUACUGACGCUGAGGUGCGAAAGCGUGGGGAGCAAACAGG
rnacentral:rRNA from 1 species